rnacentral:rRNA from 1 species
GUUUAACGGCCGCGGUAUUUUAACCGUGCGAAGGUAGCGUAAUCACUUGUCUUUUAAAUGAAGACCUGUAUGAAAGGCAUCACGAGAGUUUAACUGUCUCUAUUUUCUAAUCAAUGAAAUUGAUCUUCCCGUGCAGAAGCGGGAAUAUUAUCAUUAGACGAGAAGACCCUAUGGAGCUUCAAACACUUAAGCUAAUUUAUGUAAAAUAUUAAUUCCCAUGGGUAUAAACAUUUAUACUAUAUUUCUAACUUAACUGUUUUCGGUUGGGGUGACCAAGGAGGAAAAAAAAGCCUCCUUAUCGACUGAGUAUUUAAUACUUAAAAAAUAGAAUAACAAUUCUAAUUAAUAAAACAUUUAUCGAAAAAUGACCCAGAAUAUAUCUGAUCAAUGAACCAAGUUACCCUAGGGAUAACAGCGCAAUCCUUUCCCAGAGUCCCUAUCGCCGAAAGGGUUUACGACCUCGAUGUUGGAUCAGGACAUCCUAAUGGUGCAACCGCUAUUAAGGGUUCGUUUGUUCAACGAUUAAUAGUCCUACGUGAUCUGA